CACGUAGGCACCAAGCGUUGUCCGGAUUUAUUGGGCGUAAAGAGCUCGUAGGCGGUUCAGUAAGUCGGGUGUGAAAACUCUGGGCUCAACCCAGAGACGCCACCCGAUACUGCUGUGACUUGAGUACGGUAGGGGAGUGGGGAAUUCCUGGUGUAGCGGUGGAAUGCGCAGAUAUCAGGAGGAACACCAGUGGCGAAGGCGCCACUCUGGGCCGUAACUGACGCUGAGGAGCGAAAGCGUGGGUAGCAAACAGG
rnacentral:rRNA from 1 species